CUGGCUCAGAACGAACGCUGGCGGCAGGCUUAACACAUGCAAGUUGAGCGGGAUUGGUUAGUAGCUUGCUAUUAACCAUGAGAGCAGCGCACUGGUGAGUAACACGUGGGAACAUACCUUUUGGUGGGGGACAACAGUUGGAAACGACUGCUAAUACCGCAUAAGCCCUGAGGGGGAAAGAUUUAUUGCCGAAAGAUUGGCCCGCGGAAGAUUAGGUAGUAGGUGGGGUAAUGGCCUACCUAGCCAACGAUCUAUAGCUGGUCUGAGAGGACGAUCAGCCACAUUGGAACUGAGACACGGUCCAGACUCCUACGGGAGGCAGCAGUGAGGAAUAUUGGGCAAUGGAGGGAACUCCUGACCCAGCCAUGCCGCGUGAGUGAAGAAGGUUUUCGGAUUGUAAAGCUCUUUCGGACGGGAAGAUGAUGACGGUACCGUCUAAAGAAGCACCGGCUAACUUCGUGCCAGCCGCCGC
rnacentral:rRNA from 1 species